rnacentral:rRNA from 1 species
AUGCACUCGUGGGCGCAGAGCAGCGGCGGCGGCGACCCGGGCGGGCCGCCGCUCCCGGCCAUGACGGGCGGCACGCUGGGGUACGACGAGCUGGCGGCGGCGGCGGACGGGUUCUCGGAGGCGAACCUGCUGGGGCAGGGCGGGUUCGGGCACGUGUACAAGGGCACGGUGAACGGGCAGGAGGUGGCCAUCAAGAAGCUGCGCGCCGGCAGCGGGCAGGGCCACCGCGAGUUCCGCGCCGAGGUGGACAUCAUCAGCCGCGUGCACCACAAGAACCUCGUCUCCCUCGUCGGCUUCUGCAUCCACGCCGAGCAGCGCCUCCUCGUCUACGAGUACGUCCCCAACAAGACCCUCGAGUCCCACCUGCACCACGUCUCAGGGAGCGGCCGCGCGACGCUGGAUUGGCCGCGCCGGUGGAAGAUCGCCGUCGGCUCGGCGAAGGGCCUCGCGUAUCUGCACGAGGACUGUCAUCCUAAGAUCAUCCACCGUGACAUCAAGGCAGCCAACAUCCUCCUCGACUACAAUUAUGAGCCCAAGGUUGCAGAUUUUGGGCUGGCCAAAUGCCAAGAAGCAGAACAUACUGCUGUUUCUACGCGCGUAAUGGGAACUUUUGGUUACCUGGCGCCGGAAUAUUACGCCACCGGCAAAGUAACCGACCGGUCCGACGUCUACUCCUUCGGCGUGAUGCUUCUGGAGCUCAUCACCGGACGGAAACCUAUCAUGGCAUCCUCAGAUCACCAGCCAGAAACAUUGGCUACUUGGGCAAAGCCCCUGCUGACCAAGGCCUUGGAGGAGGAAAACUACGAGGAGCUGAUCGACCCGGAGCUGGGGACCAACUACGACGCCUACGACAUGGCGCGGCUCGUCGCCUGCGCCGCCGCCGCCGUGCGGCAGACGGCGCGCUCUCGCCCGCGGAUGGCACAGAUCGUCCGGUACCUGGAGGGCGAGCUGUCGGCGGAGGACCUGAACGGCGGCAUGGCGCCGGGCCAGAGCGCGAUGCAUCGCUCAGGGGGCGGCAACACGGACGAAGUCAGGCGGCUCAGGAGGAUGGCGUUCGGGCCGGGCACCGGGACGGCCGGCGGCACCAUCAGCGAGUACGCCAGCAGCGAGAUGAGCGCGCGGACGAGCGAGUACGGGCUGAACCCGUCCAGCGAGUACACGGCCAGCAGCGCGGCGGACACGGAGGACAUGACGGACUUCCCGCACAGAGCCGGCACCGGCAGGGGCGCCGCCGAGGGUGUCAGCGGCGAGGCGGGACGUGGAACUACGGAGGGGUUCAGCAGGCGCACCACCGUCAGACGUACCGGCCGGGGGUGA